rnacentral:rRNA from 1 species
UACGUAGGGGGCAAGCGUUGUCCGGAAUUAUUGGGCGUAAAGAGCGCGUAGGCGGUCCGGUAAGUCAGCUGUGAAAGUCAGGGGCUCAACCCUUGAAAGCCGGUUGAUACUGUCGGGCUAGAGUCCGGAAGAGGCGAGUGGAAUUCCCGGUGUAGCGGUGAAAUGCGCAGAUAUCGGGAGGAACACCAAUGGCGAAGGCAGCUCGCUGGGACGGUACUGACGCUGAGGCGCGAAAGCGUGGGGAGCAAACAGG